ACCGCGCCCAGCUGGUAUUUUUUUUUUUAUUUUUUUAUCAAAUACAGUUGAGGCUCUCUUGGAGAUCACAUAUUAAAGAGAACUGAGAAAAAUCAGACCUCAGAAGCAGUACAGUGCCCUGUAAAGUACAUGUCCAGUCCCAUCACUGUCCUUCUCUCACAUGGGCCCAGGGAUGUGGGUGAUGGUAUUUAUUGCCCCUGGUGAUGGAGCAGAUUUGAUCUGCCUAUGUGGGAAGGGGUUAACUCAGCGGGUGUGGAUUGCUCAAACCCUGCACGUUCCCAGGAGGGGCCCUUGGCUGGCUCCUGGGAGCUGAGCUCCUGCAGUGUUCUGACUGAUGAGAGAGACUUGAGCCAUGUUGCACUACUUUGCCUGGGUAGUUGACCAACAAGGUGAUGGAUGGCAAACACCUGCUUUCGCUGUGGGUGGCUGGAACUUCCCUGACUGACCCCCAGGUUCAGGAGAGCCUCCCUGGUCCGCACCACGGCACUAGCUGUCCCAGCUUCUUGCUGGAGGAAUCCGGCGCACCCUGUGUGACUCCGCUGGGAGGGACUCUGGAAGCGCCUGGCUUCCCUGGCAGCCCUUUCCCUUGGCUGGUUUACUCUGUACCCUUUCAAGUUGGAGGGUGGUCUCAGGGACCCCCAUGCAGUCUUUCGUGCUUUCACCAGAAACUCACCUUGGCAGGGCUUCAGGGGAAGGCUUGGGAUUUGGUGACAAGUGACUCCAUGGCCUUGGGCAAAGCACAGCAUCUACUUAGGUUUUCAGGCGGUUGCCCAGGUAUGUCUAGCACCUAAUGUAACCGAGGCGUGAAAUGCCUGUGCGCCACGGUGCUUCAGCUCGUUACGGGCCGUUAGGCCUUGUGGUGGUUCUCUCUUGGUUUCUGUGGAGAAGCCAGACCCCGCUGUGGUUGGCAAGGAAGGCGAGUGGAGACAUCAGGAGUGUCCAUCCCUCAGCGGCCCUUUCUAGUGGGGUGGCUGCCUCUCUCAUCCUUGAUUAAUCCCGGGACAACCUCUGCUCUCCUGGGCAAUCCUUAGAAUACUCCAGAAGACCCCAGUAUGGCCGUCCGGUUCCUCCUGGGCCCCAGCUCUCAGGAAUGCACCAUCACGGCACACUCCAUGCGUGCCCGUCCAGAUGGCACCUGAGCCUCCCUGUGCCUGCGCUGCGGCGUUAACAUCUCGCUUGUGUUUUAACCUGUGUUGCUUUGGUUUAAAACUUGUUUGACCGUGUUAUUUGCUGAGAUGGCCCAGAGAAGCUUCUGCUUAUGAUCAGGACACGUCACAGUGCAGCCUUCACUUGAGGACUUAGGUCUCAUCCAGCUCCACACAGUCAAUCCAGGGCCACGGACGCAGAAGACAGAGGAGAAGAAGCUCAUGGCAUGAAGACAGAGGAUUGAUUGCCCAGGAGGCUUCCAGGGGCUUUGGCUCCUGGGGCUUCUGUCAGCGCUGGGUCAGAGCAGGUCACCCUUGUGUGCAGACACUAGGUUGCCGCACACAGCGGUGAAGAACGGGGGAGACCAGAUGGAAUUGGGUGAGGCAGGGAUGCUCCUUGGUGUUUAGAGUUUUCCUCUUUCUUUGCCUUGUGGGUUUUCUGUAGCCUAUCUUUGCUUUUUGUAACACUAGUUUUCAGUAAUUCCGACCUUUCUGAAUACCUCUAUAUACAUAUACCUGUCUACUCUCCUUUCAGAUACUUGUAAAGCCUACAGAAAGGUAAUCCUGCAGAUUAUCACUCUAUUCAGCUUAACAGAUGCUCGUCGAGUGCUGCUGUGUGUGUAUGCCUCAGGUUCAGGUGCACCUGCCUUUGUGGGGAGAGCACAGCUUCCCUGCAUAACUGCUGGAGGGUGGGUCGUGGAGUGCUGCUCUGUGUGUAUGCCUCGGGUUCAGGUGCACCUGCCUUUGUGGGAAGAGCACAGCUUCUCUGCAUAACUGCUGGAGGGUGGGUCGUCCAGUGCUGCUGUGUGUGUAUGCCUCAGGUUCAGGUGCACCUGCCUUUGUGGGAAGAGCACAGCUUCCCUGCAUAACUGCUGGAGGGCGGGUCAUCGAGUGCUGCUGUGUGUGUAUGCCUCGGGUUCAGGUGCACCUGCCUUUGUGGGAAGAGCACAGCUUCCCUGCAUAACUGCUGGAGGGCGGAUCAUUGAGUGCUGCUCUGUGUGUGUGUGUGUGUGUGUGUGUGUGUGUGUGUGUGCCUUGGGUUCAGGUGCACCUGCCUUUGUGGGAAUAGCACAGCUUCCCUGCAUAACUGCUGGAGGGCGGGUCGUGGAGUGCUGCUGUGUGUGUGUGUGUGUGUGUAUGCCUCGGGUUCAGGUGCACCUGCCUUUGUGGUAAGAGCACAGCUUCCCUGCAUAACUGCUGGAGGGCGGGUCAUCGAGUGCUGCUGUGUGUGUGGGCCUCAGGUUCAGGUGCACCUGCCUUUGUGGGAAGGGCACAGCUUCCCUGCAUAACUGCUGGAGGGUGGGUCGUGGAGUGCUGCUCUGUGUGUAUGCCUCAGGUUCAGGUGCACCUGCCUUUGUGGGGAGAGCACAGCUUCCCUGCAUAACUGCUGGAGGGCGGGUCAUGGAGUGCUGCUGCUGUGUGUGUGUGUGUGUGUGUGUAUGCCUCGGGUUCAGGUGCACCUGCCUUAGUGGGGAGAGCACAGCUUCCCUGCAUAACUGCUGGAGGGCGGGUCAUCGAGUGCUGCUCUGUGUGUAUGCCAUGGGUUCAGGUGCACCUGCCUUUGUGGGAAGAGCACAGCUUCCCCGCAUAACUGCUGGAGGGUGGGUCAUCGAGUGCUGCUGUGUGUGUGGGCCACGGGUUCAGGUGCACCUGCCUUUGUGGGGAGAGCACAGCUUCCCUGCAUAACUGCUGGAGGGUGGGUCAUCGAGUGCUGUGUGUGUGGGCCACAGGUUCAGGUGCACCUGCCUUUGUGGGGAGAGCACAGCUUCCCUGCAUAACUGCUGGAGGGCGGAUCAUUGAGUGCUGCUCUGUGUGUAUGCCUCAGGUUCAGGUGCACCUGCCUUUGUGGGAAGAGCACAGCUUCCCUGCAUAACUGCUGGAGGGCGGGAUCUUCCCAAGGGGAAGUUGGGAGGUGCUCAGGCGGAGCAAAUGGAUUUAACUUCUGGGCUGGGAGAAUGUGGUACCCCCGUGGAAGUCUCCCUGAGGAAGGAAAGGAAGGAGCUGGAGGGAGGGUGUGUGUGUCUUAGGAGGGGACGCACUUCAGGUGAGAGCGGGCAUGGCACUAGGAGGAGCCCCAUGAGCCCAGAGUGGUGGCACGUAGAGGCCUAAGGGACCAUGCCAGCAGACCCCACCGCCCGUGCUCCACCAGGAGCCUGACAUUGUUCUCUGAGAUCAGGGGGCUGUCUCUGUGUACUGCCCAGGACUGUGGCAUUUUUGUGCAUAAAAAAAAAAAAAAA
rnacentral:lncRNA from 1 species